GUGACGUUGUUGUGUGUGUUGGGGGAGGGGGCGGGAAGAGAAGCUCGAGCGGUUUCAGGCGGAGCGACAGCGGCGGAGGGAGCGGUAACCCCCAACCGAACCGAGAGCAGCAGAGCGAUCCACAUUUCCAGCACUGAGUAGCGUAAAUGAUUCUUGCACACCAGUCACUGAAAAUCCAACCUGCAUGGGUAUCAAAGCAACCUUGUGUAAAUUGCCACAGCAUGCAAAUCUAUUUUAAGUGUGACUGAUUGGCUUAAUGAAGUUGAUGAUCGACAGCAAAUUGUGGAAAUACAUCUCAGUGACACAGUGGACCUUGAGUUAAUGUUUGGGAGAUCCUGUUCAUCGGAACUAAUUACUAUAAAUCUUUUGCAUCAAUCUAUUCUCAAGGACAUUAAACAAAUAUGAGGUCUGAAAAAGAUGGAACCUACAAGGUUAGUAAAAUACUGAAUCUUUCAGAAAUGAAUUUGUGCCUUGCAAGCAUCUGCUUGGCUUGUGUUUUAUCCAACCCUCCUUUGAUUUCUGAUAACCACUGUAUUUGGUGCAAGAGUUCUAUAG